rnacentral:misc_RNA from 1 species
GGGCCCUGGUUCGGUUCCAGGUCGCGGCA